rnacentral:lncRNA from 1 species
AUUGGAUUAUGGAUGCGCUAAUGGACGACACUGAUGACAAGGAAAGUGCCAUCGUACAUCCUCUGGGUGUCUUGAGGAGCUGGUCUUUGGAUAAUGCUGAGCAGGUCUUUCUUUCUGGUAAAGAUUAUCAUUACAGUGAAGUAAAAUAAUUUAACAGACAGAUUUACAAACAACUGACGAAAGAAGGGAGACCAUUCAAUAGAGGCCUCUAGAGAUCGUAACCUGUGAAGAGAUGAUGCCACCAUAGAGGACUUCUAAAUGUAUCCAUAAUCCUGAAACAGACCAUAUCAUGAGCAGAUGCUGUGGUGGUCAUGGAGAAGUGGAGAGCAUGAGACUGAUUAAUGAAAGACCCCAGUGACAGAUGAGUGCCCACAUUGACCCUGUGGUCCAGCCUGAAAACCAGCUGGUGACCUACUCACACC